GCGGGAAUUCUGGCUAAUUGCCGUGAAAUCCACACAUCUCAGAGAUGAGAGCUGAUGGAGCUGCCUCACAGUCGGAACUGGAAAAGCAAGUCCACUAACCCACGUUGGGAGGAUGUCGUCCUGUGGAUUUUCUCAGGCUUCUCCUUCCCCGAGGCCACCAUCAGCACGCUGACCUGAAGGCAGACUAGGAAAACCCCACCCGCUGCUGUGGCAUCUCCUUGAUGCCUGAGCUGCUGCAGCAUUGACCCGAUAUGGAUGGACGUGUCAUGCCCACAGCCUGAUGACCAGUGUGUUCCUUGGAAUAGCUCUCCUGUUGCACUGUGGGCUUAUCGCUGCCUCUCCUCGUUGCCAUGGCGACGCAUGGGGAGGAACGCGGCUCUCUUCGGGAAAUGAAGAGCGUCCGAGGCCUCGCGCUGUCGCGCUCUGCUUUGUUCGGUCGGUGCGAGCGGAGGAAGGCGCCGGCGGGUCUGAGGGCUUCAUGAGGAUCUGUCAGGUGCAUCGAAAAGGUCCAAAUUGGCAGAAUAUUCCCACGCUGGAAGAGGCUUCUCCUGCUGAACACUCGACACCUCGAGGCUACGCCAACUACCGCUCUGCCCCGAGUAGAGAACAACAACAACAACGCUGCUUCGGCGUGGAACCACACAACGGCACCAUGGACGACGCUCGAAUGAGACACGAGAACUAACGAGGAUCGACCUUCACGAAAAGGCCCAAUGACAUGGUCCAAACGGCGCUGUGUGUGUGCACCAAAGUCCUCAAAGCUGCUCCUACACUGGAUGGGCGAAGGUCAGCGUUCACUUUUAUCUCCCGGGCCCAAAAGAAAAGA